GAUGAACGCUGGCGGCGUGCCUAAUACAUGCAAGUCGAGCGGUAAGGCCUCUUCGGAGGUACACGAGCGGCGGACGGCUGAGUAACGCGUAGGAACGUACCCCAAAGUGAGGGAUAAGCACCAGAAAUGGUGUCUAAUACCGCAUGUGAUCCACGGAUUAAAGCUUUAUGCGCUUUGGGAACGGCCUGCGUUUGAUUAGCUAGUUGGUGAGGUAAAAGCUCACCAAGGCGAUGAUCAAUAGCUGGUCUGAGAGGAUGAUCAGCCAGACUGGGACUGAGACACGGCCCAGACUCCUACGGGAGGCAGCAGUAGGGAAUUUUCCACAAUGGGCGAAAGCCUGAUGGAGCAACGCCGCGUGCAGGAUGAAUGCCUUCGGGUUGUAAACUGCUUUUAUAGGUGACGAUUAUGACGGUAACCUAUGAAUAAGGAUCGGCUAACUCCGUGCCAGCAGCCGCGGUAA
rnacentral:rRNA from 1 species